CCUGCGAGUUUCAGCUGAGUGAGCUUACAUCUUGUUUGGACUCUAGGCCUGAAGUUGCCUAAAGCUGGGGAAACGUAAUUUACCGGGCGCGCACGAGGACAGUUAAUUUGUCCUCAGCGGCAGCCUGACAGCCUUGGGUUCUGGGGAACCGGUUUCUCCGGAACAGCGAGGUCCACUUACAGCAGACAAACUUGGGGCUUUUAACGGGAUGGAAAUGAGCAAUUUUGCCAAUGUUUAUGGAUUGUUAUUAAUUUGGCCGAAUACAAUUACUGGUAACGGACUGUGUCCUUCCUGAGCUCCUCUUGAAGUGAUACUGGGGCCCGCACCCCAGGCUGGCCCCGGGGAGGCGGUGCUGGCCCUCCUGACUUGGGGCAGGAGGCCGGGCUGCCGGGGUGGGCGCGGAGAGGCCAGGUCCCGCCCCAGGGCUGGCGUGCUAGUAUAUGCCCGCAGAGGGCGAGGGGCCGGGAGUGCGACGCCUCCAGCCUCCGGGCCAGAGGGCACCACCCCCCCGGACGGGCAGCCUGGGCCCCCGCAGUGGGGAGGGUGGGACUGGGCCCUGCCCUGCUGAGCCUUUUUCCUCAUCUGUUCCUGCUUCACGGAGCCGGGUGUCUGUCUGUUCACGGGGCUGCUGGAGCCGCAGGACGAGGCCAUUCGUGUGCGCGUGUGGGCUUGGCCACUGGGGCCCUGGAGAGAGGGGGGCUGCCGUCCAGCGCCCGCUGUCAUCUCAGGGGCGCCCUCCCUCCCCUCGGGUGUCGUGCCCUGUGGGCCUCGCCCUGUAGCACCAGCGCUGGUGGAGGCCCCCCACCUGGCGGCUGCUCUGAGCAGCAACACCCACGGCCCGAGCUGGUGCCGCAACUCAGGAGCGCGCUCCGCAUGACGGCAGCUCGUUCAUGGCUCCCACGCACAGCCCCAGCUCCAGCUAAUGGAAACUCGGUGAUCCGUGGCACGUGUGGCAGACAUCUGCUCGGGGUAAUGUGCUGGUGAUUGAGAGAAAACGCUCACCAACUCCACCCCACACUCAGCUCCCCGCAGCAGUCUAGGAAGUGACCUUGACCCUAAGUGAACGUGACCCUGACCUUGAGCGCUUAGCCCUCAGGCAGGAUCCGCGGGCUGGUUUCAGCGUUGAGCCUGAGUCUGUGAACUUUGUGGAGCAUGGCAGAACCGCACUUCUUUGCUUCAGGUGGACUGAAAUCACCGCGAACACUCCAGACUGACCGGUGCCAGCCCUGGACGCGGAGCACCUCAGCCCC